rnacentral:tRNA from 1 species
GCCUAGUUAGCUUAGUUGGUAGUGCGUCUGCCUUGUAAGCGCUAGACCGCGGGUUCGAUUCCCGCCCGGAGCG